rnacentral:rRNA from 1 species
GCCCAAGAAAAAAAACACGACAACGUUAUCUCUCUGUCCUCUCUCCCUUAUCUCUUUCUCUUCCGAUCUGAGCGGCGACAACGACGCUCGCAUCCGCCGACGCUCGUAUCCGGCGACGGUUCCACCACUCCGUCCAUCUCUUCCUCCCACCACUCCAUCACCAUCCCCACAUCGCUGUUGAUUUCCCAUGUGGAGGUGGUCCUGCGGCGCCGAUGCCCUCCCCAGCUGCCGGUGGCGGCACUUUUUGUUCGUGCCCAAGCGCUCGGUGAGGUCACCUCUCACCUCCCUCCUAUGGUGCCACCGCCCCAAGCCCCCAACCCAUUUGCAGCUCCCUCUUCCCCACUCCCAGGGUUGCAGAUCUGAGCGGGACAAGGUCCCUUCGGCCUUGGUGGUUUGGAACAAGGCGUGCGGCCUCUACUCCCUUAACUUCUGGAUACUAGGGGCACGGUGGUUGGUGCCCCAUCUCUCUUAGCCAUCCACAGCGGCAACAACAUCAGGUCAAACAAACUUUCAUAGGUUUGGUGGAUGUUUGGGCAAUUACUCAACUACUAACAAAAGGCCACUGGAUGAUUUUUAUACCUGCAUCACAUCAAGUGGAUUUGGAUAGAACACAAGCUGGCAUGGUCUUCAUCGUGGAUUCAAUCUCCACACGAGUGGAGUGGCCUCUGACUUGUGCCGCAGCUGCGGACGGGCAGAGGAGACGACGACGUAGGGCACACGGAGCCAGCAGCCCUAGAAGCCAUGAUGCCCGCGAACAAAAUUACCGGAAGGAUAGGAAACAGACUACUUGAUCUCACGAUGCAUGUAGUCUUUUUUUGUGAUGCGUACAACAAGCGAUCAGGUCAUCAAGGGAUGCUUUCUCACGUUGGACGUUUGGGCUGGAAAAUUCGUGCUAGGCCAUUAGUGUCAAACACUAAAAAAAAACAGGUUUGCACUUUACGUAUACGUACAGUUCAUAUCAGUACCAGGUAAUGAAAACUCACAGGGGGGCGAGGCGAUGGGGGGUGUCUGACCCCUGCUCGCACCCCCCGCCUCCGCCUCUGACGUAGAUUUGAUUAUUUAUUUAUCUUUGUGGUAGGUGACUAUCUAAAAUAAAUUUUGCAUAAUAGAUAUUAGCCAUUAAAGAUGACCAGCUCCAUGAUUAAUAAGUGAGGCUGCUUACUUUGUUAAGUUUGAGGAUUGGUAAUAAAAUAGGUACUUAUCCUGGAACCACCAAAAUCCAGGAUACAUGAUUUUGGUGGUUCCAGGGUAAGUACCUAUUUUGUUAUUUCAGCAUUAUACAUGAUUAAUGCUUUGAUGGUAAGUGUAAUAAACACAUGAUUGCUGUACAUGAAUCCAUGAUUAUUUUCUUUGGGAGAUACUAUAUUUUUCUUUGUAAUAAGUGUAAUGAUUACAUCUAUUUAUGUGCAAUAACAUUGCAGAAUAUUCGAUAGAGAACUCAGCAAUCAAACCUAUGUACAUGUUAACAUGUGAGGGUGCAACCGAAUAGCUGUACAUGAAUCUGAAACAAGAGGAAGAACCGAGGAUUCUUCAAGAAGCUUCUUCUAUUCGUGCACAAUGGCGUCGUAGUCAAGUAAGAGGUAGAUAGAUCUUUUCUGGUCGCUCGUCUAUACAUCAUCCUUUCAUUAGUCAUUUUUGAUUAGCGGAUGAAAGCACAAGCAUGAUUGUACUUUUCUUAGAAUGAAGAAAAGAAAUACACCAUCAGACCGACGUACAUUCAUACUACUAUCUCGUGGUCCAUUUCUGUUCCAAAUAACUUCUCCCCUGAUUUGAACAAUAAUUUUUCAGGCUGAGAUGGAAAUUUUACGCUCACCGGAUUACAUUUUCAGAUACUAAGAUAGGUUACAAUUGAAUGUCGAACAGUUGGUUGGACAUUUUGUAUCAGUCCUGAUACCACUUAGAAGAUAGAACAAGUCUGUAUCUCUGGAGAUUUUCUGAAGUUUUAAGUGUGUACCUAACCAAUUGAAUAUUAUAGAUGCAUUUGUUACUUCUACUUGACACCAUUGACACUCUGAAAUUUGAAGGGUUCAAUCGACACAUGGUGUGUAAGCAUUGCCUAUCUACCUAAAGGGUAUGCAGGAGCGUUGCCAACAUCAAUGUGCUUUGUGCUGCAGAAAUGGAUUUUCAAAAACCUCCAGCACAUGGUGUCCUGGGAAUUCCUGGAUAUGUCGACCUGCUAGCUCAUUAUGAGGAAAGACAGGCAAGAGGACGAGGAAACAUGAAGCCCGUGGUUUGUGUAAAUGGGAUAUUUUGUGUAAUGGUGACUGAAUCGUUGGAGAUGCACUUUAUAUAUCAUUUUGUAAACUCGCAUUGUGUCUGACAAAAUGAACCAUAUUGUAAUGGAUGAACUAUUUACAUCUGAAAUUAAUUAAUGUGUUAUUGUUUG